rnacentral:lncRNA from 1 species
AUGUAGAUAAAAUUUGUUUCAAAAUAUGGCAAAAAUAUAAGUCAAUUUAAAGGAAGAAACUUUUAAUAAUACAUUCAUAUAGCAAAAUUAUGAAAGUGGUACAAAAAUGGCAAUUUCUCUUAUCUAUUGAUGGGUAACGAGCUGUCUCAACAUUUGGUGGCUUAAAACAGCCAUUUUAUUUUGCGCAUGGUUUUGUGGGACAGGAAUUCAGGAAGGGCUCAGUGGGUAAUUUCUGUUUGAUUCACUUGGGGUCCACUAGGGCAACAGGAUCCACUUCCAAGAUGGCGUCUUCACUCACAUAUCUGGAACCUCGGUGCUCCUUGUCCUUCACGCUCCAUUUGGUGCCUUAUUUUCCAGGCCCUCUUCCCUCAGGUAGCCUGGGCUUUCUCACAGCAUGGUGGCAUCAGGGUUGUAGGAUUUCUUACAAGGCACUGACUUGUAGAAAGUUUUCAGGAGCUCCGAAUGAGGAGAUUCAAGGGCUCUGACGACCAACCGUCGGCUGUCCCAGUACGUCACUUCUUCCACAUUCUAAUGGUCAGAGUAGUCACUAAGGCCAGUCCAGGUUCGCGGAAGGAAAAUUAGAUUCCACGUCUCUAUGGGAGGACUAGCCACACUAAGCCACUGCGCUGGUUUAGAACUGUCUGAAGUCCCUCCUAGAGGUCGUGUGUUUGAUUCUGCAUCUCCGUGAUUUGUGAAUCUUGCAUCAUUUAAAUUCAGCCUUACACACUGAUGCCUUUGGUGCCGUCCCAAUAUUUAGGUAGCAAACUCGUAGUGGGUAGAGAUUCAGGCUUAAGCUUCCAGCCUGGCUCUGAGGAGAACUGUCUGGGGCUCCCUGCCCUCUUCCCCAUGGAUGAGACUCUUCCCAGCCUUGGGCAAACACAGCGGGGAGCUGGCACCAUCUCCCGCUAGACACCUCCUCCUUUUCCUCUUGCCCUUACCAUGACUCCCGAGUUAUUCUCAGAAGUAAAAGCUUUCCACGCCUGCUCUUCUCUCCUGCAGCCAGGAGUGCAAAUUUAGAUAUUGGAGCUGCUCAGGCAGAAAAAUGGCCCUGGAAUCAGGGAAGCAGAAACCUGCAGCUGCCACGAAAGGACCGCGGAGAUGAAGACCCGGAAGCUUGCAUGUGUUGAAGCCCGGGGUGUGGGGGACUGUGGUCACGUACUCGAGGGGGCUUCAGAGACCUCUGGGAAGCCCUUUCUGCCCACUCGAAGCCUGCCCCUGUGCCUGACAAUCUUCCAUCGGGAGCGAUGUCAUAAAGAAGAAAUGGAAUUCAGUGGGAAGAGUGGUGGACUCGGGGACAAAAGAUCUGGGUUUGCGCCCUGGCUCUGACCUAACUCACCAGCAUUAUUGGAGGCACGUUAGGGCUUUCAGGAGGAUUUAUCUUCUGGGCCGGAUCCUGCCUAGGAAAGGCUCAUGCAUCCUUCCUACAAAAGAGGCACUGACACUUCUGAUUAAGGUAGGAUAAGCUGUCACUUGUUGGUAAAGUUUCUACCAGUCUCUAACCCAUUGAAGGAGAAUAUUUUGCUUUCUUCUCUCAGAUCUUGUGGAUGUGCUGUGGAAAUGGAGAACCUUAACCAUUGCAUAGAAUGGACUUGGGGCAAGUUCCUGAGCUAUAAGUUACAUAGCUCAGAAGUAGCAGAGCCAGGAUCCAACACCUGUUUUGCCAUACAUCAAAUGGGGACAAUAGAAGUAACUGAUAUUAACCUAGGGCUGAAAUAAGGCAUGUCUGCUGCUUGGUGGUUGCAGUCACAGUCACAGGAAGUUUUAAAGGCACUGUAGCCAAGAGUUUGGCUUCCUCCUCACAGGUCUCUUGGGGUGGCCCUGUCCUCCCUCUUGUUUCCUUGGCACAGCAGGGUCUAGACCCUCUACUCAGCCAUACACAGGAGCCAGGCUGCUGGAAAACAUACCCCCAGCCCCAACUGCUUUGUCCAGUCUUGGGGGAGGUGGGAAAUGUACACACCUAGAAGUGAUGAUGGUAUUUCUCCUGCAGGUUCCCAUGAAAAGCAGCAUCCCAGUGAAGUCAAAGCCCUGGAACCAUCCUCUUCAUCUGUGUUGCUGCUGAGAGAUCAGAAGUCUACCUCUGGAGAUAGAAUCCUUGUCUGCUGCUGGGAUGGAGGGAAGUGCUAACAUUCCACUAGAAAGUGGGUUCUUCCAUGGAGGGACAGAAUUUGAUUCUUGCUGCUUAUACAAAGUUUUCUACACACAUAAUUGCAGCUUGUGUUUACAAAGUCAUUACCACAUGCCAAGCACGUCACAUGUCUCGCUUCAUGUAACCUUCACAGCAGCACCUUGAGGUUCUGUUAUCUCCGUUUUACAGGUAGGUAAGGUUAGUUAUUGCCCAAAGCCAUACAGUGUGUUGAGGGGCCAGAGUUUAAACACAGCUCUGUAGACUCAGUCUGUCCACGAAGCAAGAGUAUGUGCAAACCUCACCUGAUCCUCACAAUAACCUUGGAAAAGAAAUGUAUCCUCCCAUCUGAUAGAGUCCGAGUAGUCUCAGCUGCUAUAAUUGUUAUUCCUUCUGUGCUCAACAUUUGUUGGCUGGGUGACUUGAAAGCUGAAGUGAGAAAAACAGUACCUGGAACAUGGAGUAAAAACCCUUUAACAUAUGGGAAUCUACUAAACCCCAUCAGGUCAGUGAAAUAGGUACUAUUAUCACCAUUUUACAGGAGAAAAAAAGGUAAGGCUCAGGGAUGUGAAGUAUGUCCAAGAUCAAGUGCUGAUGAGUGGUGGAAGCAGAUUUAAGUGAUGGCCAUCUGACCCCACAGCCUACAUUCUUGACUGCUGCAUUACCUCCCUUCCUAUGCAUACAGACCAUGGUUGGCUGGACCAACACAGAGGUCUUUCUCUAGUGGGGUCUUCUGGGGCUUAAACAAUUCUGGAUGCUCAACUGCAGGUGCUAUGGAACCACAUUUUGGUGUUUACCUUCCUUUUCCCUUCUGCCCUGACCAAUCUAGAUACCUGCUAAAUCCCCCAAUAAAGCGUAGGGAUAGUUUGAGGCUUGUACAAAUGGUUUCAAUUGGAAAACUUCUUUGGAAUAAGUGAGUAAUUGUAGCAGGCUAUUGCUACCGAAGCCAGGAAGAGAAGAUAUUUUUCUCAAAGGGAUGCUUCAACAAGGUACUUGUGCUUGGGAAUGAUGGGCACAGACUCAUCUGCUUUUCUGAUGGAGAAGAAUGUG